AGCGGAGUGCCUGAAAAAGGAUAAUUUUGAUAGAAUUGGUCAUGUAGGAUAUUCCUACCUCCACUU
rnacentral:tRNA from 1 species